rnacentral:rRNA from 1 species
CCUACGGGUGACAGCAGUGAGGAAUAUUGGUCAAUGGGCGAGAGCCUGAACCAGCCAAGUCGCGUGAGGGAGUACUGCCCUAUGGGUUGUAAACCUCUUUUGUCAGGGAGCAACGCCGGCUACGUGUAGCCGGACUGAGAGUACCUGAAGAAAAAGCAUCGGCUAAUUCCGUGCCAGCAGCCGCGGUAAUACGGAGGAUGCGAGCGUUAUCCGGAUUGAUUGGGUUGAAAGGGUGCGUAGGCGGAAUGCCAAGUCAGCGGUAAAAUCGCGGGGCUCAACCUCGCUCCGCCGUUGAAACUGGCGUUCUUGAGUGGGCGAGAAGUAUGCGGAAUGCGUGGUGUAGCGGUGAAAUGCAUAGAUAUCACGCAGAACUCCGAUUGCGAAGGCAGCAUACCGGCGCCCAACUGACGCUGAAGCACGAAAGCGUGGGUAUCGAACAGGAUUAGAUACCCCAGUAGUC